rnacentral:rRNA from 1 species
CAGGCUUAACACAUGCAAGUCGAGGGGCAGCAUGGUCUUAGCUUGCUAAGACUGAUGGCGACCGGCGCACGGGUGAGUAACACGUAUCCAACCUGCCGUCUACUCUUGGACAGCCUUCUGAAAGGAAGAUUAAUACAAGAUGGCAUCAUGAGUCCGCAUGUUCACAUGAUUAAAGGUAUUCCGGUAGACGAUGGGGAUGCGUUCCAUUAGAUAGUAGGCGGGGUAACGGCCCACCUAGUCUUCGAUGGAUAGGGGUUCUGAGAGGAAGGUCCCCCACAUUGGAACUGAGACACGGUCCAAACUCCUACGGGAGGCAGCAGUGAGGAAUAUUGGUCAAUGGGCGAGAGCCUGAACCAGCCAAGUAGCGUGAAGGAUGACUGCCCUAUGGGUUGUAAACUUCUUUUAUAAAGGAAUAAAGUCGGGUAUGGAUACCCGUUUGCAUGUACUUUAUGAAUAAGGAUCGGCUAACUCCGUGCCAGCAGCCGCGGUAAUACGGAGGAUCCGAGCGUUAUCCGGAUUUAUUGGGUUUAAAGGGAGCGUAGAUGGAUGUUUAAGUCAGUUGUGAAAGUUUGCGGCUCAACCGUAAAAUUGCAGUUGAUACUGGAUAUCUUGAGUGCAGUUGAGGCAGGCGGAAUUCGUGGUGUAGCGGUGAAAUGCUUAGAUAUCACGAAGAACUCCGAUUGCGAAGGCAGCCUGCUAAGCUGCAACUGACAUUGAGGCUCGAAAGUGUGGGUAUCAAACAGGAUUAGAUACCCUGGUAGUCCACACGGUAAACGAUGAAUACUCGCUGUUUGCGAUAUACUGCAAGCGGCCAAGCGAAAGCGUUAAGUAUUCCACCUGGGGAGUACGCCGGCAACGGUGAAACUCAAAGGAAUUGACGGGGGCCCGCACAAGCGGAGGAACAUGUGGUUUAAUUCGAUGAUACGCGAGGAACCUUACCCGGGCUUAAAUUGCAGAUGAAUUACGGUGAAAGCCGUAAGCCGCAAGGCAUCUGUGAAGGUGCUGCAUGGUUGUCGUCAGCUCGUGCCGUGAGGUGUCGGCUUAAGUGCCAUAACGAGCGCAACCCUUGUUGUCAGUUACUAACAGGUUCCGCUGAGGACUCUGACAAGACUGCCAUCGUAAGAUGUGAGGAAGGUGGGGAUGACGUCAAAUCAGCACGGCCCUUACGUCCGGGGCUACACACGUGUUACAAUGGGGGGUACAGAGGGCCGCUACCACGCGAGUGGAUGCCAAUCCCCAAAACCUCUCUCAGUUCGGACUGGAGUCUGCAACCCGACUCCACGAAGCUGGAUUCGCUAGUAAUCGCGCAUCAGCCACGGCGCGGUGAAUACGUUCCCGGGCCUUGUACACACCGCCCGUCAAGCCAUGGGAGCCGGGGGUACCUGAAGUGCGUAACCGCGAGGAGCGCCCUAGGGUAAAACUGGUGACUGGGGCUAAGU